GGUUAGUAUAAUUUAGUAACUUUAAUGUUCUUACUUCUAGCGGAUUUAUCCAUUUAGACGGCAUUUCGUUAUUUUUUAACACUUCUUUUUCAGUCCAAGCAAGACCGUGGGAAUAAUUUUUCGCUAGCAUGACUUUAAAAUCGUCAUCUGUAACAUUUUUUAAAAAUUGUAAUGCAUCAUCUAUGUCAAAUUCAUCGUGGUCCUUAUCAAUGUCUUCUCUAUAUCGAAUAAUUGCACCAUUGGAAAAAUUUGUUUGAUUAAGAUCAUCUGGAGCCUAAAUAUUAAUAAAAAAUUAACAGCACAUAUUUCUUACCCAACUGGCAUUUCCCCAUACAACAUCGCCUCCUUUAGGAAGCAUAGAACUAACUCCUCCCAUAGUGCGAACCAUCAUGGCUCUCUAUUAAAAGUUAGAAAAAGUAGAGCACAUUUGUAUUUUUGAAUAUACCUCAGAACGGGAAAAAAAUUUUUCCAAACUAAACAGUAAAUUAGUAACAAAUCUCAACAAUUUAUUGCUUACCCAUAGACCGAAAACUGAUUCAAUUGAGCUUAAAACGGUUAGCAAAAAUUAAAUAUUAACAUGUUUAAUGUAAUUACAAUACCUGUAUCUUUCAUUUCACCCGAUAAAAGCGCUGCCACUGUUUUGGGUGCUCCAAUCAAAGAUCCCGAUAUCUAUUCAAAAGUUAGAAACGUAGUCAAACAACCAUCGAGACUCACAUUUAUAAAUGCUUCAAUAUGAUCAUUAACCCAAGUCGGUCCACCAUUUCCGUAGCCCUCAGCUUCAACCCACUUAAAAAAAUAGUACGUAACCUGUGAACCCAUGGAGUGAGAAAUCAACACUACCUUUUUCU